rnacentral:rRNA from 1 species
GACGAACGCUGGCGGCGUGCUUAACACAUGCAAGUCGAACGGAGAGGCCCUGCUUUUGUGGGGUGCGCGAGUGGCGCAAAGGUGAGUAACACGUGAGUAACCUGCGCUUGACUGUGGGGUAACUUCAGGAAACUGGGUCUAAUACCGGAUAUGAGCUCCUGCUGCAUGGGUGGGGUUGGAAAGAUUCGGCGGUUGGGGAUGGACUCGCGGCUUAUCAGCGUGUUGGUGGGGUGGUGGCUUAGCAAGGCUUUGACGGGUAGCCGGCCUGCGAGGGUGACCGGCCACAUUGGGAUUGAGAUAGGGGCCAGAGUGAUACGGGAGGAAUGAGUGGGGAAUAGUCCAAAAUGGGCGGAAGGCGGAUGGAGGAACGUCGGGUGGUGGAGGACUGUUUUCGGGUUGGAAACCGUGUUAGCCUGGGAAGAAGAGUGAGUGACGGUAAUGUGUAAAGAAGCACCGGCUAACUACGUG